rnacentral:rRNA from 1 species
GAUGAACGCUGGCGGCGUGCCUAAUACAUGCAAGUCGAGCGAACAGAUGAGGAGUUUGCUCCUCUGACGUUAGCGGCGGACGGGUGAGUAACACGUGGAUAACCUACCUAUAAGACUGGGAUAACUUCGGGAAACCGGAGCUAAUACCGGAUAAUAUAUUGAACCGCAUGGUUCAAUAGUGAAAGACGGUUUUGCUGUCACUUAUAGAUGGAUCCGCGCCGCAUUAGCUAGUUGGUAAGGUAACGGCUUACCAAGGCAACGAUGCGUAGCCGACCUGAGAGGGGGAUCGGCGGCACGAGAGCUGGACCGCCGUCCAGACUCCUGAGGGAGGCAGCAGUAUGGAAUCGUACGCAAUGGGCGAAAGCCUGACGGAGCAACGCCGCGUGAGUGAUGAAGGUCUCCGGAUCGUAAAACUCUGUUAUGAGGGAAAAACAAAUGUGUAAGUAACUAUGCACGUCUUGACGGUACCUAAUCAGAAAGCCACGGCUAACUACGUG